rnacentral:rRNA from 1 species
AUACGUAGGUGGCAAGCGUUAUCCGGAAUUAUUGGGCGUAAAGAGGGAGCAGGCGGCAGCAAGGGUCUGUGGUGAAAGCCUGAAGCUUAACUUCAGUAAGCCAUAGAAACCAGGCAGCUAGAGUGCAGGAGAGGAUCGUGGAAUUCCAUGUGUAGCGGGGAAAUGCGUAGAUAUAUGGAGGAACACCAGUGGCGAAGGCGACGAUCUGGCCUGAAACUGACGCUCAGUCCCGAAAGCGUGGGGAGCAAAUAGGAUUAGAUACCCUAGUAGUCCACGCCGUAAACGAUGAGUACUAAGUGUUGGAUGUCAAAGUUCAGUGCUGCAGUUAACGCAAUAAGUACUCCGCCUGAGGAGUACGUUCGCAAGAAUGAAACUCAAAUGAAUUGGCGGGG